UCAAAUCCAGUCCAGUUUCCAAGUCGGACCCAGUCCAUCCCUGGUCCCAGUCCGGUUUCCAAGUCAGGCCCUGACUGGCAGGACCAUGUCAGGUUUCCAAGUCGGACAUAGUCUGCAGCGACCCAUUCCUGUUUCCAGGUCAGAGCCAGCCUGACUUGUGCCAGUUUGGUCCCAGUCUGGGAAAAGAAAUGCUCCAAUGAAGCCUGAAAGCUCCUAAUGGCAAAGCUGCAGGGCUAGGAUGUGCGCUCCAGAAGCAGCGAGACCUCCAGAGGCAGUGAGAAGGCUGCAAGCUCAGGGGGCUCAACAGGUGAGCAUUAUUUCCCCUCUUGAGAUAAGGAUAUCCAGGUUCAGAGAAUUUAACUAAUUGACCACGGCCACAUGACUGAAGACAACAGAGCUGGGGUUUGCCCCACAAAAUCUUGAUCCAGAGCACCUACACUCAAUUGCCUUGGAAAAAUCUCUACACACAUGUGCAGGAUUAAGACACAGAAUAUGCCCAGGAUAUAGAUACAGAAAUGAAAUUGUUGGAUUACAAGGAAUCAACUCCUAUUUGCUGGUCAUCGUUUUGAUGAACAAGACACUAUGCUGGAUACAGAGCAUACAAAAACAAACGAGGCAGAAUUCCUCUCUGUGAAGAACUUACAGAGGAAUUGGCCACAUAAACAACGAAUUAUAAUG